UCCGUAGGUGGAUAAUUAAGUCAGGGGUGAAAGUCUGCAGCUCAACUGUAGAAUUGCCCUUGAUACUGGUUGUCUUGAGUCAUUAUGAAGUAGUUAGAAUAUGUAGUGUAGCGGUGAAAUGCAUAGAUAUUACAUAGAAUACCAACUGCGAAGGCAGAUUACUAAUAAUGUACUGACACUGAUGGACGAAAGCGUGGGGAGCGAACAGGAUUAGAUACCCUGGUAGUCC
rnacentral:rRNA from 1 species